rnacentral:rRNA from 1 species
GACGAACGCUGGCGGCGUGCUUAACACAUGCAAGUCGAACGGGCCUUGUCCCCUUUUUUUUGGGGGUGGGGUUAGUGGCGAACGGGUGAGUAACACGUGAGUAACCUGCCCCUCACUUCUGGAUAACCGCUUGAAAGGGUGGCUAAUACGGGGUGUUCUGGCCUGCUCGCAUGGGUGGGUUUGGAAAGAUUCGACCGGUUUUGGUUGUUUUGGCGGGGGAUGGGCUCGCGGCCUAUCAGCUUGUUGGUGGGGUGAUGGCCUGCCAAGGCUUUGACGGGUAGCCGGCCUGAGAGGGUGGGCGGUCACACUGGGACUGAGACACGGCCCAGACUCCUACGGGAGGCAGCAGUGGGGAAUAUUGCACAAUGGGCGCAAGCCUGAUGCAGCGACGCCGCGUGAGGGAUGGAGGCCUUCGGGUUGUGAACCUCUUUCGCCAGUGAAGAAGGUCCUGCUCUUUGUGGUGGGGUUGACGGUAGCUGGGUUAAUGAAGCGCCGGCUAACUACGUG